AAAAAUCUUUUAAAAAACUAGAAUAAAUUUGCUUCCAAUUUGUCAAAAUUCCAAUCGAGUGCACGAGGUUUUUGCUCGAGUGCACAAAUGUUGAAAGUCUGUUAGUGUGCAAACUACCAGACGGAUUCCUUUGUUCAGAUCCAUCGGAGUAUCGUGUAAACCAUAAAUUUUAACCAUACGUUGUGGCCGGCCAAUUUAAAGUAAAAGGACAAUUAUUUAUCGGACCUUUGUAAGCCUACAUUGUGAAUUACAGAUCAAGCCAACAGCAUGGAUGAACACAUUCAGUAUCUCGAGACACUUUGUCGUCUUUGUGGCACAAAUCUGCCACGGGCCUGGGUCAGUGCUAUAAACAAAGAAUAUUUCAAAUCGGAGCUCUGGAUGAAAUUUCAAAUCAAUGUCGAUCUUGACAUCAGAGAGAUUCAUUCAGCCAAGGCGAAUGCACACUAAAAGAUAAUUUCAGGAAAUCACGGAUCUAACACGUAAAUGUGAUUAUCCAGCGAGUAAGUUCUCCUUCGGGCAAACAUAAAACAAAGAGGUAUUCGUUCACUGAGCUCUCACAUCUUCAGGUAUCGUAUCCGGGAAAUGUGCGAUAAGAGCGGCAUGAAGAUGAAAAUAAAGAAAUCACAUUGGUGGAAAGCCUUGCCGAAGUGUCUCUAUUACAGCAUUCCGGAAAGAAAGGUAUCAUAAUUUCAAGAUCAAAGCUCCACGUGGAACACCGCUUGUUAUUCAAAGUGAAGACGACAACACGUAUGACUCGCAUGCACUGGCUUGUCUUCUUCCACGAGAAAUGGAACGCAUUCCAGAGGCUCUACGAGAAGUCCAGAUUUUCAGCAGAUCGCAGAGAAAGACAUACACUUUAGGAGAUGUCAAAGGGCAGCAGAUCGGCACGGUUCAGCACUUUCUAAACAUACAGCUGCAUGCUUUGCUUCGAUGUGGCAAAAUAACCAGGAAUUGAAGGGGAAAUCAACGGAGAACGGACAGUAACAUCGAGGCCAAGCUCUACCCUGAAGUUCUCCAGAUACAAACAGGCUGGCGGAGGAGCUUUUAUUCCUGUGACGCUCUUGGUGGAAGGACCACAGCGUUACAAAGAAUUUGUGCUA